rnacentral:misc_RNA from 1 species
UAUGAAGAACGUAGCGAAAUGCGAUAAGUAAUGUGAAUUGCAGAAUUCAGUGAAUCAUCGAAUCUUUGAACGCACAUUGCGCCCGCCAGUAUUCUGGCGGGCAUGCCUGUUCGAGCGUCAUUACAACCCUCAGGCCCCCGGGCCUGGCGUUGGGGAUCGGCGGAAGCCCCCUGUGGGCACACGCCGUCCCUCAAAUACAGUGGCGGUCCCGCCGCAGCUUCCAUUGCGUAGUAGCUAACACCUCGCAACUGGAGAGCGGCGCGGCCAUGCCGUAAAACACCCAACUUCUGAAUGUUGACCUCGAAUCAGGUAGGAAUACCCGCUGAACUUAAGCAUAUCAAUAAGCGGAGGA